rnacentral:rRNA from 1 species
UGGGGAAUAUUGGACAAUGGGGGGAACCCUGAUCCAGCCAUGUCGCGUGUGUGAAGAAGGCCUUAUGGUUGUAAAGCACUUUAAGCGAGGAGGAGGGUACUGGUAUUAAUACUACCAGCUACUGGACGUUACUCGCAGAAUAAGCACCGGCUAACUCUGUGCCAGCAGCCGCGGUAAUACAGAGGGUGCAAGCGUUAAUCGGAAUUACUGGGCGUAAAGCGCGCGUAGGUGGUUCGUUAAGUUGAAUGUGAAAGCCCCGGGCUCAACCUGGGAACUGCAUCCAAAACUGGCGAGCUAGAGUAGGGCAGAGGGUGGUGGAAUUUCCUGUGUAGCGGUGAAAUGCGUAGAUAUAGGAAGGAACACCAGUGGCGAAGGCGACCACCUGGGCUCAUACUGACACUGAGGUGCGAAAGCGUGGGGAGCAAACAGG